CCUACGGGAGGCAGCAGUGGGGAAUUUUGGACAAUGGACGCAAGUCUGAUCCAGCAGUGCCGCGUGCAGGACGAAGGCCUUCGGGUUGUAAACUGCUUUUGUACGGAACGAAACGGUCUGCUUUAAUACAGUGGGCUAAUGACGGUACCGUAAGAAUAAGCACCGGCUAACUACGUGCCAGCAGCCGCGGUAAUACGUAGGGUGCGAGCGUUAAUCGGAAUUACUGGGCGUAAAGCGUGCGCAGGCGGUUAUAUAAGACAGAUGUGAAAUCCCCGGGCUCAACCUGGGACCUGCAUUUGUGACUGUAUAGCUAGAGUACGGUAGAGGGGGAUGGAAUUCCGCGUGUAGCAGUGAAAUGCGUAGAUAUGCGGAGGAACACCGAUGGCGAAGGCAAUCCCCUGGACCUGUACUGACGCUCAUGCACGAAAGCGUGGGGAGCAAACAGGAUUAGAUACCCUGGUAGUCCACGCCCUAAACGAUGUCAACUGGUUGUUGGGAAUUAGUUUUCUCAGUAACGAAGCUAACGCGUGAAGUCGACCGCCUGGGGAGUACGGCCGCAAGGUUGAAACUCAAAUGAAUAAGGG
rnacentral:rRNA from 1 species